GGAGUCUAACAUGCUUGCGAGUCUUCGGGGCCUGACAAACCCCAUGAAGGCGAAAUGAAAGUGAAGGCGGUUUUUAUGGAUCGCCGAGGCAGGAUCCUGAAGGUGAGAGUCUUCAGGCGCACUGCCGGCCCGUCCUUAGGUCGCUUGCCGAUCGGGCGGAGCUAGAGCAGGUCUGUUGGUACCCGAAAGAUGGUGAACUAUGCCUGGGCAGGACGAGGCCAGAGGAAACUCUGGUGGAAGUCCGUAGCGAUUCUGACGUGCAAAUCGAUCGUCGGACCUGGGUAUAGGGGCGAAAGACUAAUCGAACCAUCUAGUAGCUGGUUCCCUCCGAAGUUUCCCUCAGGAUAGCUGGCAUUCGGAGGAUAGAGGUGCAGUUUCAUCCGGUAAAGCGAAUGAUUAGAGGAACUUGGGGUCGAAACGACCUCAACCUAUUCUCAAACUUUCAAUGGGUGAGAAGACCGGUAUGCUCGACUGAAUUCCGGCACACCUACAUUGAGAAUGCGAGUGCCAAGUGGGCCACUUUUG
rnacentral:rRNA from 1 species